rnacentral:rRNA from 1 species
UACAGGGGGUGCAAACGUUGCUCGGAAUUAUUGGGCGUAAAGCGCGCGUAGGCGGCUACUUAAGUCGGAUGUGAAAGCCCUUGGCUCAACUGAGGAAGUGCAUCCGAAACUGGCAGGCUAGAGUACUAAAGAGGGUCGCGGAAUUCCCGGUGUAGAGGUGAAAUUCGUAGAUAUCGGGAGGAACACCGGUGGCGAAGGCGGCGACCUGGGUAGAUACUGACGCUGAGGUGCGAAAGCGUGGGGAGCAAACAGG